rnacentral:rRNA from 1 species
GAGAAUGCCGGAAUGAGUAGCGAGAUGGAGGUGGGAAUCCUCCAGGCCGAAUAUCUAAGGUUUCCAGAGUAAAGCUGAUCUGCUCUGGGUAAGUCGGGACCUAAGGCGAGGCCGAAAGGCGUAGUCGAUGGACAACAGGUAGAGAUUCCUGUACCCGUAUAUAUGUGAAGGAAUGACGGAGAGAGGAAGCUGCAGCCAGCGGCUGGAAGAGCUGGUGCAAGCGAGAUAUCGGGAUGGCAGGCAAAUCCACCAUCCGAAACGAGAAGGCGUGAAGCGUACGGAAAGCUACGGCGAGUACGGAAGGCAGUGGAGGAACUUCCAAGAAAAGUUUCUAACGUUAAGUAUAUAUGGCCCGUACCGAAAAUGGACACACAUGGGUGAGGAGAGAAUCCUAAGGUGAGCGAGAGAACUAUAGCUAAGGAACUCUGCAAAAUGACUCCGUAACUUAGGGAGAAGGAGUGCUCAUAGAGAUAUGAGCCGCAGUGAAACGGCCCAAGCGACUGUUUACCAAAAACACAGCUCUCUGCUAAGCCGCAAGGCGAAGUAUAGGGGGUGACGCCUGCCCGGUGCUGGAAGGUUAAGGGGAGGGGUUAACGCAAGUGAAGCCCUGAACUGAAGCCCCAGUAAACGGCGGCCGUAACUAUAACGGUCCUAAGGUAGCGAAAUUCCUUGUCAGGUAAGUUCUGACCCGCACGAAAGGCGUAACGAUUUGGGCGCUGUCUCAGCUGUAGACUCGGUGAAGUCUUAGUACCUGUGAAGAUGCAGGUUACCCGCGACUAGACGGAAAGACCCCAUGGAGCUUCACUGCAGGUUGAUAUUGGGAUUUGAUGCAGCAUGUACAGGAUAGGUAGGAGGCAAAGAGAUGGAUACGCCAGUAUUCAAGGAGCCGCUGUUGGGAUACUACCCCUGUUGUAUUGGAUUUCUAACCGGACGACGUAGAGCCGUUGACGGGACAGUGUCAGUCGGGCAGUUUGACUGGGGCGGUCGCCUCCCAAAGAGUAACGGAGGCGCCCAAAGAUACCCUCAGCUUGGAUGGAAACCAAGCGCAGAGUGCAAAGGCAAAAGGGUGUUUGACUGCGAGACCUACAAGUCGAGCAGGGACGAAAGUCGGGCUUAGUGAUCCGGCGGUACCGAAUGGAAGGGCCGUCGCUCAACGGAUAAAAGCUACCCCGGGGAUAACAGGCUGAUCUCCCCCAAGAGUUCACAUCGACGGGGAGGUUUGGCACCUCGAUGUCGGCUCA